rnacentral:tRNA from 1 species
GGGCCGUUAGCUCAGUUGGUAGAGCAGCUGACUCUUAAUCAGCGGGUCGGAGGUUCGACCCCUCCACGGCCCA